rnacentral:rRNA from 1 species
CCUACGGGAGGCUGCAGUGGGGAAUAUUGGGCAAUGGACGCAAGUCUGACCCAGCAACGCCGCGUGAAGGAAGAAGGCUUUCGGGUUGUAAACUUCUUUUAAGGGGGAAGAGCAGAAGACGGUACCCCUUGAAUAAGCCACGGCUACCGACGUGCCAGCAGCCGCGGUAAGACGUAGGUGGCAAGCGGUGUCCGGAUUUACUGGGUGUAAAGGGCGUGCAGCCGGAGAGACAAGUCAGAUGUGAAAUCCACGGGCUCAACCCGUGAACUGCCUUUGAAACUGUUUCCCUUGAGUGUCGGAGAGGUAAUCGGAUUUCCUUGUGUAGCGGUGACAUGCGUAGAUAUCAGGCAGAACCCCAGUGGCGAAGGCGGCUUACUGGACGAUACCUGACGGUGAGGCGCGAACGCGUG